rnacentral:lncRNA from 1 species
GGGACCAGGGUGAUGUAGGCACAGGUGUUGGGCUGGGAAAGAGGGGUACAAGAAACCAUGAUACAUGCAAGGGGCUGUAUCAGCAGAACAGGGUCACACGUGGGCUUGGUGAGGGCGAGGGGGUUGAGGAUGACACAGGUCUCCAUCUGAGCAACCAGAAAGAGACCAGGCUGUCAGAGAAAUAGCCAGGGUGAGCAGAGAAGGCAAAGACAGGCUCCAGCCCCUUGAAUCCCACAAAGCCUCAGCUCCGUGAAGCUUCUCACCCCAGAUUCCUGCAAGGAGGGCUUCAUCAUCUCUGGUCAUAAAGGACGCCAUAUCUGUUCAUGGAACCACAUGGCUCGCAAAAGUGACAGAAGGUCAAGGAAGAGGAGAAAGGGAAACCCAGGAAGCUCUUUAAGGGAGCAAGCCUAUUUUUUUUUCUCUUUAUGAAGUCCUACUCGUUAAGCACACAGGUGGUUUUUACUCAGAACACACACUACGGCGUGAACACUGUUGUCACUGUCACUCCUGACAAUGAGAGGGAGUGGUGAUCAGAUGCUGGUGUAGACGGGACGAGCUAGGCAGGGGCACCAUGACAGACACCUACCGCCCUUCAAGUCAGCAGAUGCCCCCACAUACUGAAAGUUGUCCAUAUUAAUGACAUCGAUGAUGGGUGACACAACCCGAGUCCUGUCCUAAAAUACAAAGAGAGGAGUAGUUAUCAAAAUCCCAGCAAAACAAAAAACCUGCCCAACCACAGAAGGCAUUAGUAUUAGGCAGGCACAGGGCAAACCCAACUGGCCCUUACUACCUACUACCCUAGGCCCUCAAGAACCCAGCCUCCCCACCCAGACCCAGAAGGUCUUGCUCUUGGCCAUCCACAGAUGUGCUGUGGCCUGCUGGGAGGCAGGGAGGGAGGUCAGGAGUGGGUGCGUAGCAGGAGUCACUCUAGGAGUGGAGACACCCAUGGUUAUGGGACAGGUAGCCAUCAGUUCACCCAGCUAAAGGCAAAAACUGUGUUGCUGUGUCCCAAGGGUCCUUUUCUGUUUGCCCAAAUACCAUUAGUGAUUUGUGAGCUGCAGUAAACUUCAGGAAUGGAGUCACUGCUAAAAUGCUCAUACAUCAAAAUUAGGAAUAUAUUUCUAUGUGGGAGUGUGUGUGUGUGAGAGAGAUGUGGUAAGUAUCAAUAUUAUCACAGCAGAAGGUUAACCAAAUCAACCAGAGAUUUCCAGAUUCUACGUUUGCCUCAUCUGUAAUUCUAUCUUUUUUGUUUUUUUGUUUUGUUUUUUUUUUGAGACGGAGUUUCACUCUUGUUGCCCAGGCUGGAGUGCAAUGGCGUGCUAUAUAUGCUGGGCUUUCUAUGUGAAGAUGAUGCAACUAUUCAUAACCGGUGAGGACAAGUCUGCUAAGUACUUUUUUCCACAGUCAAAAUGGGUUUUCAGUGAUUCCUAUGUGGCUGUAUGCUAGAACAGGGAAAAAGACUAAAGAUUUUAAGUUGUGAUAAUUGCAAAACAACUUGUAUGGGGCAAACCUUUGCUCCAGUAACAAUUAUAAACUCUGAGCAAAAUAUAAAAAGCAGCAAUUUGAAAGCCAGAAGCAGACAGAAACUAGAUAGGAUCCAACCCCUUAAAAUAAGAAAAUAACACUGAGUAAGCUCCGUGUUUAUACGGCGUUUUCCACGAGGAUGCGCUCCAAUCCACUGCAAUGUAGCCUUUUUUGGCUUGAGUUGUUAGAGGAUAGAGAGUUCAGAGCUUCUGGUAUCUGGAAACUGAAGGAGAUCCUGGAAAGGAGGUAGGACCCAAAUCUGGCAAUAACCUCCUGUUAAAUCUUUGGCUGACUUCUGAACCACACAGGAACCAAGUCCAACAUGAAAAGCAACAGUUAAGAAGGCAGAAAAAACUGAGUUUCAGCUGCUAUCUACUGCAGAGAAAACAAAGUUUGGAAUUUGAGUUCUGCCAAGUGUGACAUGCUUGGUAAAGAUCUCAGUUCUUCUACAGGAACUUCAGAAAGACCACACAUAGGAAUAUAGACUAUGUAUCAAGAAUAAGGGACUCAUAAAAACAAACUCAUGGCCGGGCGUGGUGGCUCACGCCUGUAAUCCCAGCACUUUGGGAGGCUGAGGUGGGCAGAUCACCUGAGGUCAGGAGUUCAAGACCAGCCUAGCUAACAUGGUGAAACCCGUUUCUAUUAAAAAUACAAAAAAUUAGCCAGGCGUGGUGGCGUGCGCCUGUAAUCCCAGCUACUCGGCAGGCUGAGGUAGGA